rnacentral:tRNA from 1 species
GGAGCCGUCGACUAAUGCCAGGUCGGCCGGGCUUUCAACCCGGAUCGUGCGGGUUCGAGUCCCGCCGGCUCCAC